rnacentral:piRNA from 1 species
UAUGUGGCUUGUCUUAAACUUUGGGC